UACGGAGGGGGCUAGCGUUGUUCGGAAUUACUGGGCGUAAAGCGCACGUAGGCGGCUUUGUAAGUUAGAGGUGAAAGCCCAGGGCUUAACCCUGGAAUUGCCUUUAAGACUGCAUCGCUAGAAUCGUGGAGAGGUAAGUGGAAUUCCGAGUGUAGAGGUGAAAUUCGUAGAUAUUCGGAAGAACACCAGUGGCGAAGGCGACUUACUGGACACGUAUUGACGCUGAGGUGCGAAAAGCGUGGGGAGCAAACAGG
rnacentral:rRNA from 1 species